UAAGAGCUUGAUAGCAUCUUUCUUGCACUCUGUCACUUUUCUUCCAAACUGAAGGAAUGACAAUAUACCAGACCGGGUGGCGAUCUCUGUAAAGCAAACGAUAGAGACCUCAUCCGGAGAAGUGCAGAAGACAUCUUUGCUAAGGUUGAAUUCAACCUCAAAGAUGUUCUUUACAAUCAACUCCAAGUGCUUGGACCAUUGAUCAAUCCAGCCCUCUACUUCUUCCACAUCAUCACACCCAAUUAUCGGUUUAUCAAGGUAAUUCAGAUCAAUCCCUUCUAAACUUAUCCUUGCAUUUGCAACCCGGACCUCGACAUAUGCUGAUGUACACCAUGGUAACCUGUUGUUAGCAUUCAAUCUCUCAGUGAUGGCCUGAAGUUUUUCUACGACAUCGACAGGGAUGGCUUUCAAAGCAGUGAAUGAACAAAUAGUCAAAGGGACAGGAACAGAGUUUGCAACAAGAAGCUGUUUGUAUUCAAUCCCUAGCUUCCUAAAUGCGCCAAACAGAACACCACCAUCGAUUCGAGCAAGUUUCUCAGUGGCUUCCAGCUCCAGCAAAAUUCUCAAGGACUUCUCGACAUUACAAAUGUAUGGCUCCUUGGCAACUGAGUUGUCCUUCAGAAACUGCAGAAUAUCCUGCAACCACUGAAUUGCUAGUCCACAGUUGUUGGCUAGAAACUUAAGUGCUUCCUCAAGCUUCUUCAGGGAAGAAAGAUAAGCAUAAAGAUCACUAGGACUAGGAUCUGCCGAGACCGACUUCUGAAGCUCCUGAAUCGUACCGUGGACUUUCAAAACAGCCGCUGCAGGGCCAACUGCACGAUCGACAUGGUCUGUGAUUGCUGCGAAUGUGCAUUUCUGAGCUGGGAAAGGCCUAGCUGCAGCUUCCAAAGGUGGUAAGCUCUGGCCGAUACGAUCCAGUUUUUGGCCGGUUUGAUGCAAUGCUGAAACAAUAGCUCUGGAAUUCUCUAAGGUUGCCUUCAAGAGAGCACUCCUGGAAGAAAGAAGAUUUCUGGAGAUGUCCAUUUCAGCCAUGAUUGAGAUUAACUAGAAAGAAUGUAUGUAUUGCAGUGAGUUGAAAAGUGAUGUGAUACUUAUCUAGUAACUGGAAUUUUAGUUUCCUUUUAAGACACUUCCUUCACCAAACUC
rnacentral:lncRNA from 1 species